CAAACCAAAGCUGGCGACCGGCGCACGGGUGAGUAACACGUAUCCAACCUGCCUCAUACUCGGGGAUAGCCUUUCGAAAGAAAGAUUAAUAUCCGAUAGCAUAUAUUUCCCGCAUGGGUUUUAUAUUAAAGAAAUUCGGUAUGAGAUGGGGAUGCGUUCCACUAGUUUGUUGGGGGGGUAACGGCCCACCAAGACUACGAUGGAUAGGGGUUCUGAGAGGAAGGUCCCCCACAUUGGAACUGAGACACGGUCCAA
rnacentral:rRNA from 1 species